rnacentral:lncRNA from 1 species
CAGCGUUUGGAGAGAGGGAGAGUCCGUCACUCAGAGACAGAGCGAGAGCCGUGGAGUAGAUCUCGCGACCUGCCGCCCCCCGGCUGUGCUCGUCCUGGGGCUGGAGCAUCCUGCCGGCCGCCGGCGACCUCCUCGUCGGUGAGUACGUGCAGAAGCCCGGAGAGGCGCCUGCAGUUGCAGGGGCCAAAGGCUGGAUCUCGCAGAAUCGUGAGGUAUAAUUCGUUUCUUCCCGAUCUUGAUCCGGUUAACUUAGUUUGAUUAAAUUAGUUUCUUCGGCUAAACUCAUGGGGGUGUGCAUCUUCAGUGCAAAUUGCUGGUCAUACACCAUAGAUCUUCUACCGUUCUAGAUUGUUUAAUCCAGCUCGUGCAAACUGUUGGUUAUCCCCGAUAGAUUUACAAUGCUGAUUUGGUCGUAUAAGCCGCUCCUACGGCCUGGUCUAGUGAGUUCAUUUGUUGCCAGAUAACUGCCACACGCUUCUUUAUAUAUCAGAUGCAUCUUGAUUUGUUUGCGAACUAAACCGUCCCAAAAUUUCAUAUACAUAGGUCAGCGUGGGAUGGAAGUCACAACUGUGUGUGGACUUAAAACAAAUGCUAGUGCAGAAGAAUUGAAGAGGAUAUUGUUAUUUAGCCUUUACCAUCAUAAGUGCAAAUAAUUUGUGAUUCACUCUAGAUUUAAAUUGGUUGGUAUAUGAUGUUUUUUUUCAAGGGUCUGCUUAUUUUUUGCCUUGAUAAAUAUUAUUCAUUGUUGUCUUCUCUUGAUGAAUAAAUAGUAUACACAUUUUGACUUGCCUGCCAACUAAUUUGUUUCAAAAUCUUCACAUGCAUAGGUACUUGGGCAUGGGAUGGGAAUCACAAUUGUUGUGGAGGAAAUGAAGAAUAUCUUGUUAUUUGCCACCUACCAUCGAUGUUCUUUUAGAUUGAACAUUGCCAUGAGCUUUUCUCUACGCAAUGAAUAUAUUAGAUCAAGCAUCAUAUCAUGGACACCAUAAGACUUUUCUGCCUUUAUAGUGAUGUCUACAGAUUGGAUCCUGCUUCUGUUUAUGAGCUCAUUGAAGUAACUCUCCUAGCUCAAAUGGGUCAAUUUCACGUUUGCAUGAUACACAAAUCUUCAGCUAUCCAUCUCAACAUCUCCAUGUGGAUUGGUCUCGCUUAAUUUUAUAAUCUUCUGGAUAUAUGCUUACAUAUAAUAAUUGAUGUGAAGGUAGAUCAUAGAACAACAACAUAAUCUUUAGUCUUAAACAAAUUAUGGUAGACUAGAGAUAGAACACAAUAGGAACCACACACACACCAACGGUAUAGAAAGUAGCAAAGAAAUAGUAAAAGAAGUUCUUGACUUGUAGAUUAUCUCAAAGUGAUAAUGCAGAGUCAACCUUCUUUUACUACUAGUUUUGAUCUACCUUGUCAUCUGUAGGAUAAGUUAUUAUAUCUAAGCAUGUGUUUAGAAGAUUAGAAGAUUAAGCAAGGUCACUAGAUAUGUAAAUAGAUAGUUGAAUGAUUUGUUUAUCAUGAGAAGUAAGAGGUUAACCUAUUUGAGCUUGGUGAUAGAGUUAUUUGAUGAGAUCAUAAAUAGAAGCAUGAUUCAACUAAUAGACAUCAAUGUUGAUGAAGGCGUGGAAAAAUCUUAUCGUAUACAUGAUAUGAUGAUUGAUCCCAUAUGUUUUUACGAAGUGAAGAAAACUACUUCCAUGGCACUGAGUGAAAGCGAUCUAUCCAAAGGCAAGAUUUGAAGAUUAUCCAUCCGAAAGAGCAAGGCAUAUGUAACCACGAUCAACAGCAGCUCUCUUGUGAUAUCCAUGUGCUAUUGUCGAUUCGAUGUCGCUUAUGCUGAGCAUCCAUGUUCUACAUGGUUAAAUUUAGGUAUGUGACCAGCAUCAACAACUAUGAAAUUGUUGAUUCAGUGUCUCUUAUCGAACGGCAAGAUUUGAAGAUUAUCCAUCUGAAAGAGCAUAGCAGAUAUGACCGGCAGCAGCAGCAGCCGCAAGGUCACACGCGACGUGUGCUCUCUUGCAAUAUCCAUGUGCUAUUGUCGAUCCAGUGUCACUUAUGAUGACAGUUCAUGUUCUACAUGUGUUAGAUUUAGAAUAUUGUGUUGAAUGCUUCUGUUCUUGCCGAUUGAGAUGACGAGACUCAUGAACACUCCAUUUGCCCUGAUGUUUUGAUUUAUCUUCUGCAACGACAUGAAGCUCUCAUUGUAAUUGUACCCACUUCUGUCGGAUUCAAGAACCACCAAGUUUCUGUGGCGCCUCCUGCAUCUUGCUAAUAAUGAACUUUCUUCU